rnacentral:lncRNA from 1 species
AUUUUCCGGGACAGAAAGAAGCCUUGCACUCUGGCCGUCAAUUCCCACCUCAUGUUGCAUAGCCGGUGCGUGCUGGUGAAUGAUAAGGUGGACGACAUCCACCGUCUAUCAGUUUCCAUCAAUGGGGAAUAUUAGGUUGUACACGUAGAUGUGACUAUAAAAUAGGGUGCCUAAUCUAAUCCAAUCCUAUGGAAUCAAAGACGUGAUCCCAAGGAAACACAAAGUUGGUGGGGUGGUUGCAUGUACUGUGUAUAAAAC